rnacentral:lncRNA from 1 species
AGCAGGACCAAGCCUGUGGGCUCCUUGGAAACAUGCUCCUCUCCCCCAUGGCUCUAGUGAGGCCAGCCGGGUCCCAGCGCAGAGCUGUGCUUCCUCUACUUUCUCUUUUUGCUACUGAGGUUGAACCCAGGGGUGCUCAAACACUGACCCACAUCCCCAGCUCUUUUUAUUUUAUUUUGAGAUAGGGUCUCACUAAGUUGCUGAGACUGGCCUCCAACUUGUGAUCCUCCUGCCUCAGCCUCCCAGGUCACCGAUUACAGGUGUGCCACGGUGCCAGGCUUUUCCACUCUUAGGGUAGGCAAACAAACCCUCUUGGGGGAUCAGAUUUUGUGACUAUGGCUCAGGGUGACUGAUCCUCUGCUUUCUAUUGAGGAAAGAGCCCUGAACAGAGAGAUAGACAAGAGGUUUCCAGCCCCACCUCUGCCACUGACAAGCAGCCAUGUCCCAAGACCUGGGCUUUGUCUACUUGGAGCUGGAGGGCUGGACCCGGAGGUUCCUCAUCUCUUCCCACUUCAGGACGCCUGGAGCUUUCUGCCACCAUCCAGAGUCCCCAGCUGUGCCAUGCAGCAAACCCUCUCCCACAACCUGUCAAACCAGAGAUGCCAGUUCCCCAGGGCUCCCAGGAGCUCCCGCCCCUCUCUAGUACCAGGCAGAACCUCUGCAGGAAGGUCCCGGCCUGUGCCCUGUGCACCUGCUUAUUGAUAACUGUGUGUCUGAAUGUGCCUCGGGUCAGAGCCCUUUGGUUUGAACUUGCCUUGUACCGAGAGGCCGGGACGUGAGAAAAUUACGAGCAGGGGAGAGGAGUGGUACCCUAUGACAGGAGGCAGCUGUGGAGAAGGAGCAGGCUCCAUGCCCAGGGUGAGCGCCAUCUGGGUGGGAGGCCUGGCUUCCAGCUGUGGGGGCUCCGGAAGGGCAGAGGCUGGGAGGAAUGAUUUUGAAGCCACUACUAUGGAGAUUAAGGGGAUGAGAAUGUAAAUCUCAAGUAAAAAGGUAAUUGAAUGUAAUAGCAAACACUGCUCGCUCUAUGUUAAUUUUAGCUCUUCCCCUGGAUACAAGACGCUGUAUUAGUGUUUUAUUACCAUUUUGUUUGCACUAAUAAAAUAGUAAAAUUUAUUUCAAGGAAGUUGAAGGAUGGUUUUACAAUGCAAAUUUGAAGAAAUUGGACUUUUCAUUUAUGCCUCUGCUAUUUUAAACCCUGACGGGUGUAAAUUAGCUACAGGGACUGAGGAGACCCCACUGAUGGGGACUUGGGAGGCGGG